GUGCUUCCUUCAGCAGCACAUAUACUAACAUUGGAAUGAUUCAGAGAAGAUUAGGAUAGCCCCUGCACAAGGAGAGAAAGGACAAGUGGAGUGAAAGAAUCAGUUAUU